AUGACCUAGAAAAGGCGAAAAUCACAACAGAGAUCAAAAUGAUUUAAGACACGUCCAAAGGCAAUCUGUCACAGCCACCUGAAACAUAGUCACCGCAGGUCAGUGGAAGAUUAUUUCCAGAAGCAACAAGCAGGGAAGACAGAAGGAGGAAGGAAAAGCAAGAGGAGGAUAUACCCCAGCUAUGGAAAGAGAACAGAUCCAAAACCAGGACAGAGCUUCCUACAAUGGGAGGGAGCAUCCAGAACUCUCUGCUGAGCCAAUCGUGAUGGAGCUGGGCCUUUGCCUGCCGGAUUCAAGGUAUUCCAGAGAACUUAGGCACCCUCAGGAGCCCAUCUGCCACACUUGAAGGAAGAAGGGAUAGUGCAUCUUCUGCAAAGGAGAGCCAGAGAGAGUGUUGGAGCCAGGUAACUCAGCAGCAACUUCGCAGAAACGCAGGCAGGAAGGAGUGACCCACUGGACGAUGUCACCCACUUGAAAUACGGGUGUGUAUGCCUGCUACAACACACCACAUAGAGGUCAGAGGACAACUCUCAGGAG